AUUGAACGCUGGCGGCAGGCCUAACACAUGCAAGUCGAGCGGCAGCGGGAAAGUAGCUUGCUACUUUUGCCGGCGAGCGGCGGACGGGUGAGUAAUGCCUGGGAAAUUACCCAGUCGAGGGGGAUAACAGUUGGAAACGACUGCUAAUACCGCAUACGCCCUACGGGGGAAAGCAGGGGACCUUCGGGCCUUGCGAGAUUGCAUAUGCCCAGGUGGGAUUAGCUAGUUGGUGAGGUAAUGGCUCAACAAGGCGACGAUCCCUAGCUGGUCUGAGAGGAUGAUCAGCCACACUGGAACUGAGACACGGUCCAGACUCCUACGGGAGGCAGCAGUGGGGAAUAUUGCACAAUGGGGGAAACCCUGAUGCAGCCAUGCCGCGUGUGUGAAGAAGGCCUUCGGGUUGUAAAGCACUUUCAGCGAGGAGGAAAGGUCAGUAGCUAAUAUCUGCUGACUGUGACGUUACUCGCAGAAGAAGCACCGGCUAACUCCGUGCCAGCAGCCGCGGUAACAC
rnacentral:rRNA from 1 species